GCUAAAGCGGGAACAUUGCCUUUAAAUUUCAAUCAGGCUGUACAGCUGAACUUCUAUGAUGCGGAUUGAAUAGAGCCAUAAGUGCUUUUCCACAUGGAAUUUGCGCUGUUCUUUAUCCAUGCAUGGGCACCAAGCAGACUAAGACUAAAUAGGUUUGAUAUUGACCCAAAGUAAAGUGAUCUUGGUAUUUCUCCGCCUCAAUGCUGCUGCAGCACUUAGUGCAAAUAUAGCCAUCAAUUAACGUAACCACUGAUUGUCUGGUAGUGGUCUCUAAGAAAACAAUGAUUUAUGGGUGGGUUUAAAACAAAUAAAAAUGUCAGAUGCCAUUUAUAUAGAUGGAUGACCUAUUGUGCCACCCAAUACUUCUUGUUGAAGAAGCCCUUUCAUUCUCUAGGGUACAUGGAAAAUGUGCAAAUUAAAAGCUAGGGUCGACCUCUGCCCGAUAUCAGCUUAAUGAGGAAGGAUGAAAACGUGAGGGCGUUCAAUACCAACUGGUAUCAAAAGUGUAGUUGGUUAACCAAGCCGCCUGUAUUGCUGGCCUUUCCUGCUUUUUGGAAAGUCUGCGCCUUGGUCGAAAGGUGGGUACAGUGACCUGAAGAACAUCGAUCAUUCAGCUAAACUGCAAAAGAAAUGUAGGGUGCAUAUAAAUGCCCACAUCAGAUUCAAGUUUCUGGGAAAAAGCUGCUUCGAUCAUGACGAAGGUCUGCGUUUUCAAACUGCUACCAAGCUGCUUAUCAACACCACGGCGUUUUUGGGCAUGCAAUCAUUUGCUUUUAGAGGACAUGACGAGAGGAAAAGCACUGACAACAAGGGCAAUUACAAGGAGCUUGCAGAGGAUCCAGUGUUUUCCUAGUUAGGUUAACAUAUAAGGAAUAACUCCAGGGCCCAUGGUGUAAAAAUUGCCCCACCGCUCUGGGACCUAUGGUGCCACCAGUCUGCUUGCAGAUGUCAGUUAUCGUCAGCUAACUCCCCUCCUGUUCCCUGAUUUAAGAGUCAAAUCCUGUCCGGCACUUGUCAAGCCUCUGAACACCUCAGCUCAUGCCUCAGCUCAUGCCCCAUACCCUCAUUCAAUCACUGCUGUGAUCCCUUUCCACCACUGUUGCAUUCUGAGCCUAUACCGUGGGUCGCCCAUCCUCCUCAAUUAUUCAAGUCACCAGUCUCCAAUGGUCUUCACU